UAUCCUUUGUUGCCAGCGGUCCGGCCGGGAACUCAAAGGAGACUGCCAGUGAUAAACUGGAGGAAGGUGGGGAUGACGUCAAGUCAUCAUGGCCCUUACGACCAGGGCUACACACGUGCUACAAUGGCAUAUACAAAGAGAAGCGACCUCGCGAGAGCAAGCGGACCUCAUAAAGUAUGUCGUAGUCCGGAUUGGAGUCUGCAACUCGACUCCAUGAAGUCGGAAUCGCUAGUAAUCGUAGAUCAGAAUGCUACGGUGAAUACGUUCCCGGGCCUUGUACACACCGCCCGUCACACCAUGGGAGUGGGUUGCAAAAGAAGUAGGUAGCUUAACCUUCGGGAGGGCGCUUACCACUUUGUGAUUCAUGACUGGGGUGAAGUCGUAACAAGGUAACCGUAGGGGAACCUGCGGUUGGAUCACCUCCUU
rnacentral:rRNA from 1 species